AGUCUUAUAGUCAAAAUUAUGAUUUUAGAUUGCAAAUCUAAAGGUAAAGAUUAUAUUUUAAGGCUU
rnacentral:tRNA from 1 species